rnacentral:tRNA from 1 species
GCCGAUGUAGCUUAGUGGUUAAGCAGCGGUUUCGUAAACCGCAGACGACAGUUCGAUUCUGUCCAUCGGCU